GAACACUGGAAAUCACAACACAUCACAACAUCGGUGGAACGGCUCAGUUCUCAGUUGACCGAAAAACACAAGGAACACCAACCUGUAUAUACACAACAUCUGUAAGAGUCACUAUGUGACUCCGUAAGGGUUCCACACCCAUUCACACACACCAAGAGAGAGACCUCAUCAUCUUGCUCACGAGAUCAUCAGGUUGAGCAGAUGAUUCAUCAUCACAAGCUCUGGUGAAUCCUCACUGAGAUUAUACAUGAGAAGACACAGAUUUUAAAAUAUUUUUACAAUGGAACGACAAAAGACAAAAAAUUUCUUGUUUCCUGGAUGAUGAUCUAUUAGGCCUAAAACAAAAAAAAAAUAAAUAUUGACAUCCAGGCCUGGAUUUGCAGAGACACCAGAAAGCUAAGUUCUCAGGGAUGUGACAGAGAGGCACGAAAGGCUCACCAGCCAAAGACAGCCUUCACCAAUGGAUUCACACAGAGACUGUGGAACAAGUUGGUCAGCGGACCAUUUCUGCAAUGGCAUGCAGAAGAAACGUCCCAUUACACGAUGCAAAAGUGCUUAUUAUGCUACUUCUAGAC